AAUAAAAUUUGCAGUAAGGAAGAAACCUGACCUGGGUUGGGGCGACGAUCAGAUGCAAAUAGCGCGAAUCGGGUCUGAGCAUAGCAACUCGGUGGACUUGAUAUCAGCAACUUGGGGGCCAGAGCUGAUUGAGGCCUGUGCUUGCCGAAGAUGUUCCAGCUGAGAUGAUGCUGGGAAGAAGGUCACGGUGUUGCAGGGUCCGGUGGUGGUGGUCGGAGCAACUGUUGGCAGGGAGGAGCUGAUGCAGGACGGUUGGAGCGGUCUGCGGUGAUGACUGUCAGAGCUGACAGUGGCGGUGCAGUAGUCGACGGCAGCGACGGCAACGCGGCGGCGCGGCGGUGGGAGCAACCCGGCGGCGCGGCGGUGCGGCAGUAACUAGCAGCGGCAAGCGGCGGUACGGAGGAGGCGUGAGCGGCGCGCGGCGCGGUGGAGCGAGCAGCGAAGAUGGCAGCGGCGGUGGGACAAGGGCGGUGGCGCAGAGAGCAGUGGAAGGCCGCGGGA
rnacentral:lncRNA from 1 species